rnacentral:rRNA from 1 species
GCCAAAAACUUAGCUCCACUAUACCUAAUGCCCACCUACCAACUUGUAUAAUAAAAUAAAACAUUUUAUCUAUUUAGUAAAGGCGAUUAAAAAAUAUUUAGAAGCAAUAGAAACUAGUACCGCAAGGGAACAGUGAAAUAAAAAUGAAAACCUUUAAGCACCAAAAAGCAGAGUUAUAAUCUCGUACCUUUUGCAUCAUGGUUUAACUAGUCUAAUCAGACAAAACGCACUUUAAGCCUGUCCCCCCGAAACUAGGUGAGCUACUUAAAAACAGCCUUUAGGGCCAACCCGUCUCUGUUGCAAAAGAGUGGGAAGAUUAUUAAGUAGAGGUGAUAGACCUACCGAACCUAGAGAUAGCUGGUUAUUCAGGAAAAGAACUUAAGUCCUACCUUAGGUUUAUUAUAACAUAAAUAUUUAACUAACCUUAAGAGCUAUUCAAAUAAGGUACAGCCUGUUUGAAAUAGGAUACAACCUCAACUAGCGGGUAACAAAUUUUAAUUUUAAGCAACUAAGUUGGCCUAAAAGCAGCCACCUUUUAAAAAGCGUUAAAGCUUCAUUACUAAUGUAAAAAAUUUCAUUAACCAACUAAAACCCCUAAACCCCUACUGAAUGAAUUCAUAACUAUAUGAAAACCUAUCUGUUAAAACUAGUAACAAGAAGAAGACCUUCUCCAAAAUGCAAGUAUAAGCCGCAAUGAACAAAACAUCGGCACUUAAAGCCUAUAAUAUACCAGUAGUAACCCACCAAGAAAACUCUACUGAUUACAACGUUAACCUUACACAAGCGCAUUUAAGGAAAGAUUAAAAAAAUGGGAAGGAACUCGGCAAAUUAUUAACCCCGCCUGUUUACCAAAAACAUCGCCUCUUGAAAUUACUAUAAGAGGUCCAGCCUGCCCAGUGACAAAGUUAAACGGCCGCGGUACCCUAACCGUGCAAAGGUAGCGCAAUCACUUGUUCUUUAAAUGAGGACUAGUAUGAACGGCAUCACGAGGGUUAAACUGUCUCCCUACUUUAAUCAGUAAAACUGAUCUUCCCGUGAAGAAGCGGGAAUAAUACUAUAAGACGAGAAGACCCCAUGGAGCUUAAAACUCAGUGUCAUCUGCUAUAUACAAACCCUAUAAACAAUGCAGCACUGACUUCUAGUUUUCGGUUGGGGUGACCACGGAGUAAAAUAAAACCUCCGCAACGAAAGGACCUAACUGCCUAAUCCAAGAGCUACGGCUCUAAGAAUCAAUAAAUUGACUAAACUGACCCAAUUACUUGAUCAAUGAACCAAGUUACCCUGGGGAUAACAGCGCAAUCCAUUUUAAGAGCCCCUAUCGACAAAUGGGUUUACGACCUCGAUGUUGGAUCAGGGCAUCCAAGUGGCGCA